rnacentral:tRNA from 3 species
GGGGGUAUAGCUCAGUUGGUAGAGCGCUUGAAUGGCAUUCAAGAGGCCAGCGGUUCGAACCCGCUUAUCUCCACCA